rnacentral:rRNA from 1 species
UAGGGAAUCUUCCACAAUGGACGCAAGUCUGAUGGAGCAACGCCGCGUGAGUGAAGAAGGCUUUCGGGUCGUAAAACUCUGUUAUUGAAGAAGAGCGUGUGUGACAGUAACUGGUCAUGCAGUGACGGUAUUCAAUCAGAAAGUCACGGCUAACUACGUGCCAGCAGCCGCGGUAAUACGUAGGUGGCAAGCGUUGUCCGGAUUUAUUGGGCGUAAAGCGAGUGCAGGCGGUCUUUUAAGUCUGAUGUGAAAGCCUUCGGCUUAACCGAAGAAGGGCAUCGGAAACUGGGAGACUUGAGUGCAGAAGAG